rnacentral:rRNA from 1 species
UACGGAGGGGACUAGCGUUGUUCGGAAUUACUGGGCGUAAAGCGCACGUAGGCGGAUUUGUAAGUCAGGGGUGAAAUCCCGGGGCUCAACCUCGGAACUGCCUUUGAUACUGCAAAUCUCGAGUCCGGAAGAGGUGAGUGGAAUUCCUAGUGUAGAGGUGAAAUUCGUAGAUAUUAGGUAGAACACCAGUGGCGAAGGCGGCUCACUGGUCCGGUACUGACGCUGAGGUGCGAAAGCGUGGGGAGCAAACAGG